rnacentral:snoRNA from 1 species
GCUACAUGUUGUUAAAUGCUGGAUUCGAGGCGGCUGGCUGGCUGAGGGGCUCACAAGUGUGGACGGUGUGCUGUGUGAAGGGCAGGCCUUUCAGUAACACUGCAAGGGACUCUAUCCCAAUGAGUGGAGUUUGAUAGUAAUUUUUGCUACAAGU